UCUACUAUGCGUUCAGAUUUACAGUAAAAGAAGCCCAACAGACGAACAAAACAAAGCCCGUGUCAUAUCUGAAGCCUGUAAAUUAGGGUUGAGAGUUGAGACUUAAGACUCGACACUCUAAUCCAAUUUAUUAUUAUAACAAUCCUUGAUCCUUGAUGUACAUGGAGACGGAGCGGAGCGUAUGAUCGACUUUCCCCACACCAACAUAAACAUGGAUCGCCGUCCCCGAAAACGACAGCGUCUAGGCUGGGACGUUGCUCCCCUCCCUCUAUGGCACCUUGCACUAUUGCACACUCAAAUAUUAGUCAGCCAGAAUAUACAUAUGUUGAAUUACUUAGGCUGCAGGGAUUUCUUGAUUCUGAGAGUGAGCCACUAAGCUAUGUAUCAGAGUGAUGCUAAUUAUAAUUAGUAUUUCAAUGUCUGAAGAUGACAAAGAUGGAGAUUAGCGAUGUAGAAUUUGGUCCGGGAUUAACUUGGCGCUUAAUGCAAUCCAACUUGUCGAAAAGUAUUUAUGGUUAGUUUCUAGCUAAUUAGAUUAUGUGAUACAUUUAUCAUACUUUCAGUUGGGUAUUAUAUAUGGUGUUUCUUAAAGACUGGGCUUCUCUAAAUACAGAGCACUUUGUUUUAUUGUUUGGAGCAAUAGAAGCAUAGAAGGCUAGCACACUCUGGCUUGUGGAGCAUUGGCUUAUCAGUAUAUGAAAAAAGUAGUUACUUCAACAGUUGAUGUGUUGUAGGAAAUGAGGUCCUUGAUAUGCUCUUUGUUGCUAAAGGGAUAUUUUGUAGUCACAGAUCCCCUCUCUGGCGCUUGGAAUCCAUAAGUCAGAAGUUUGUUAUAGUGUGGAAGCCAUUAUUAGCAAAUCCUGAAGAUGAAAGCACACGGAGAUACCGGACAGGCCUGUUCAAACUAGGAGAAGCUAGUGAUUUGCAAUUGGAUAGAUAAUCAGCAGAGCCAGUCAUAAUUUUUUUCUUUCAUUGCAAUGCUUCUUUUUUGUAAAAAGAAAUAAUGCCAUCAUUAUCAACAUUUAUGUAUGUAUGUAUACAAUACAAGUACAACCUUCGUUAAAUGACUCAUUUAUACAUUGAAUUUAGUAUCUGGUAAAAGGUUUUUUUGA